GUCUAACCCUAUUGUUAUAGCUGUGGGUUCUGUUCUUUUGUUCUCCGCCCGCUGUUUUUCUCGCUGACUUUCAGCGGGCCUGGAAAGUUCAGACCUGCAGCGGGUCACCGCGCAUUCUGGAACCUCAAAAAAUGUCAGCGUAGGAGCUCUGGUGCCAGAGCUCCGCGGCGCUGGGCCGCCCAGCCCGGUACCCGCCUGGAGGCCGCGGACGGCCUGGGGUCUUAGAACUCCGCUGCCGCCGUGAAGAGCUAGUCUCUGUUAGCUACGGGGCACCGGGCGCUGGGGUCAGGCCGGGAGAGCGCCGCAAGGACAGUAACGGAACUGGUCCCUGAGUUCGGUGGCUUUCCUGAGAUGUGGGAAGUGCACCUGGAACUCAGUUCCUACAACC
rnacentral:telomerase_RNA from 14 species